UAGGCAACCAGGGAAGGCCAAUUAUCUCAAAGAGGGAUACCAAUGCUUAUAAGAUCAAGACUCCUAAAUGGUGCUUUUAUAAAAUAAAAAAAAGUUGUCUAAAUUUUAAAGCAAACUAGCCUCUCUUUCUUCAAAGUCCUAUUUUGUGACAAUAUUUUUUGUUGAUAAUUAUUCCCAGUCACAGAUGAAACAAAAUUUAAGAUUCUUAAAUUGAAUACUUCAGAGACGUUAUCUCAAGUAAAAAAAAAAGUUCUAUCAUUGCACUUCAUCAAAUGAAAUAAAUACACAAAUAAUUUCUUUAAAUUUUUAUGGAACUAGCUCUCUAGGCUUGGGCCUAAGUCCUUUACUCAUGCCUAAAGCACCGAAAAAGUCAGACUCUUCAGUGAAUUUGGGACCUGCUACAGUCCCUCCCUCUGGAAAUAGUGAAGAAAACUGAACUCAGCCGGUGUGCCAAGUAUAACUGGUCCUUCUGUGGCAAGAUAAAUUUCUCUGUUAGCCACGAAGAGGAAGGCUAAGAUUGGUGGCUUGGAGACCAGAAGCAGAAACUGAGGCUCAGGUCAAGUAACUUGUUGAAGUCACCAUUGUACUAAAUGACAGAAUUGGAAAUUGACACCCUGUCUAACUGCAAUCUUCCUAUUAUAUUACUAUCCACACUAUACAACACUACCUUCAAAAAUAAAGAUGAGGAAAAUGAAGUGAGGAAAGGUGAAAUAUCUUGGUGAAGGUUAUAAGCUAGUAAGUGGCAGAACUGAGAUUCACACAGAGGUUUCAAGUAAGAUGAAGAUUCCAAAAGAAUUAAAUCUGUGACCACAAGAGAAUAAGAAAGAAAACAAUUAUCUGGGAAAGAUAUCCUAUCUUUAUGGGAGAGGAAAAUGUCUUUAACAAAAUGAAUUGUGCCCUACAAAAAUGACUACUCAUUUGAGGUUUAUUUCCAAUCUAUUCAUGAGAUCCCAAUGUAACACUGCCUAAGAUAGAGCCACAGAAAUCAUUCUGUUCUUGGUUUUAAUUUUUAACUUUGUUGUUGACCUGUUAUGUGACACAAGGGAAAUCUCUAUUUCUUCUUUUUCAACUACAUAAUAAAGAUACUAAUAAGAAAUUGAA